UGUUCUACUAUAUUCUUUCUGUUCUACUCUAUUCUAUUUAUUGUAUUCUGUUCUAUUUUACUCACUCUAGUCUGGUUGAGUUUCACCGCUGUCUUCAUGUUACAAGGACCCAGUCAUUAAUCUAAAUGCGUUUCAAGCGGAAUCAGUUCUGCCACUAGAUGGAGCUGCUGCAGAUAAUAAGGCAUCAUCGGGAAACAUGGAGGGCCAAGACGAAGGAUAAGCGACUCUUCUAUGAUCCACUGUGACUUACCAGAGUGCCUCUCAACCGCUGAGAGAGCAUGACGAGGCUGGACGUAGAGGGCACAGGCUGGUCCUGCUCCGGUGCUGCAGAUCUGAACGCCCCUCUGUACAUUACUGUUAAAGGUAGCUACAUCUCCACACCAUCACUACACACCAAACCUACUGUAGAAAUACUUCCUGUACUUAAGCAGUUAUCUUUUUAUUUUGACUUCUGUGAACAUGUUGUCACAAUAGGAUUGGAAACAACAGCUAACAAAAUGAAUUAAUUAAUUUUUGUAAAUUUCUAUUUCAACCAGUUGUUUAUGUGGAUGCUCCUAGUGAGGACAAACAUGUGUUAUAGUUUUGUUUACUUGAUUUGUUCAAGGAUGCAAGGUACAGCCUUUUAUUCUGUAAAAAAUAGUGCAAUAUCCAAUGUAGUUUUGUUAGAGCUAAGAGCAAACAGGGGAGCACCUUGAGACAGAGAUGGUCUGCUUCAUGAAGGACAAUAAGACCAUAUACAGUACACUGCCAACAUGGUGGUGUACAUCAUAAGCUAUUUCCUGUCUGAAAAAGAAAAUGUUCAUCUUCAAUAUGCUACAGAAGAAUGAUAAAAUAAAACCAAUGUGGGAGUGGAACAUGGUUAUUGUAAAGGGCAAAAUCUGUGGAUUCU